UGGGGGAUGUAUAGUCCUCUUAUGAGGCUAGUUAUGUUUUGAGUAGUAAAGGUAAAAGGUUAUGAAAGAAACAUAACACCAACUACGUUGGAUAAAGUUCUAGAUAGAAUACUGAUUAUGACUAUUUUCUAUCUACAUGUCUUGACCAAAUUACGUGCCAGCAGUCGCGGUAAUACGUAGAAGACUAGUGUUAUUCAUCUUUAAUAGGUUUAAAGGGUACCUAGACGGUAUUAUUAACCCACAACAGGGAAAUAUUUUUACUAGAGUUUUAUAUAAGAAGGGAGUAUUUACGGAGUAGAGUUGAAAUUCUUUGAUACCCUAAGGACUGGUAAUGGCGAAAGCAUCCUUCUAUGUAAAAACUGACGUUAAGGGACGAAGGCUUGGGUAGCGAACAGGAUUAGAUACCCUAGUAGUCCAUGCAGAUAAUGAUGAAUGCCAUAGACUAGAUAUUUUUUAGUUUAUAAAUGAAAGUGUAAGCAUUCCACCUCAAGAGUACUGUGGCAACGCUGGAACUGAAAUCAUUAGACCGUUUCUGAGAACAGUAGUGAAGUAUGUUAUAUAAUUCGAUAGUCCUCGUAAAACCUUACCACAACUUGAAUGGUGUCCAGAGUUAAUGUAAUAUUCUUUGAAAAGCUGCCUAGUUAAUAUUAAUACUCUAUUAUAUUAGGUAGAUCUAAUCAAGAUAUUAUAUUGGGCUAACUCCAUUAUUAUAAUGGGCUGGCUCAUUGAAGGUCAUUAAAUAUUAUACUUCCUCCCCCCUUCUUAGAGGAGGCCACUUCUCGACCGAAGGCGGGAGGCAAGAGGAGUAUAUAAUUACCUUUACUAACAGAGAUGUUACAAGUGUUGCACGGUUGUCUUCAGCUAAUGUCGUGAGAUUUUGGUUAGUUCCAUAAAAUUAGCGUAAACCCCGGUUUUAUUUUUUUAAUUAUUAUGAUAAAGCAGUUCGUCACUAUAUUGAUAUAUGAUAACAGGGAUCAAGACAAAUCAU
rnacentral:rRNA from 1 species